AGCAGCCGCGGUAAUUCCAGCUCCAAUAGCGUAUAUUAAAGUUGUUGCAGUUAAAAAGCUCGUAGUUGAACCUUGGGCCUGGCUGGCCGGUCCGCCUCACCGCGUGCACUGGAUCCGGCCGGGCCUUUCCUCCCGGGGAACCGCAUGCCCUUCACUGGGCGUGUCGAGGAACCGGGACGUUUACUUUGAAAAAAUUAGAGUGCUCAAAGCAGGCCUUCGCUCGGAUACAUUAGCACGGAAUAAUAGAAUAGGACGCUGCGGUUCUAUUUUGUUGGUUUCUAGAACCGCCGUAAUGAUUAAUAGGGACAGUCGGGGAGACUGGUAUUCAAUUGUCAGAGGUGAAAUUCUUGGAUUUAUUGAAGACCAACUACUGCGAAAGCAUUUCUCAAGGAUGUUUUCAUUAAUCAGUGAACGAAAGUUAGGGGAUCGAAGACGAUCAGAUACCGUCGUAGUCUUAACCAUAAACUAUG
rnacentral:rRNA from 1 species